rnacentral:lncRNA from 1 species
UUUGAACUGUGGUGUUGGAGAAGACUCUUGAGAGUCCCUUGGACUGCAAGGAGAUCCAACCAGUCCAUUUUAAAGGAGAUCAGUCCUGGGUAUUCUUUGGAAGGACUGAUGCUGAAGCUGAAACUCCAAUACUUUGGCCACCUCGUGCAGAGAGUUGACUCAUUGGAAAAGACUCUGAUGCUGGGAGGGAUUGGAGGCAGGAGGAGAAGGGGAGGACAGAGGAUGAGAUGGCUGGAUGGCAUCACCAACUCGAUGGACAUGAGUUUGAGUAAACUCCAGGAGUUGGUGAUGGACAGGGAGGCCUGGCAUGCUGCUACUCAUGGGGUCGCAAAGAGUCGGACAGGACUGAGCGAGUGAACUGAACUGAAAGAGCCAGAGGUUAAUGAUUGUGGGCCCAGGAAGCAAUAAAGGUGAGAUCCUUUUCUUGGAAAGUAAACAAACUAAAUCUGCCCUACAAAAUAUAUUUAUAGAGGGACUAAAAAUCCCUCUCUGGUCUCCAGUAUCGACCUGCACUUAACUCCGUAUUUCAAGUGAGGAAUUAAGAGUUCCAAUACCGCCUUUUCCCACUGCUUCUUUAUACAUUUCCCCACUACUGCUUUAUAUUUAGAGAGGCGGGAGGCAGUAAAAAUUUUAAGAGCAAGGAAAUUAAAAAAAAUUAAUCAAAAAAUCCUGUUAUUUCACAGUAUCACAGAUGUUUUCAUUUUUCAAUCUAUUCACUUGUCUAUUUGCAUAUUCAUUUCGCCGCGUAGUCAUAGCAUCGUGUGACAGUGCUUUUGCGGUCUGUUUAUUCCCAUUUUACGUCAGCUUUUAAAGGUAACUAGUAUCCGUGCUGUCUUUUCCCGAGAACGCAACCCGAAGAAAACCCGUGAUUCAGCUAGAGGGGAUCGGCAAGGAGUGGGACGGGGGCAACCGCAGACUGACCCGCGCCGUGCCGCCGACGUCUCCUGCCUGCUGGCUCCUCGACCCUCUUCACUUUUUUUCCCUGCCCCCGGACGGACCGGCCCGAAGCUCCCGAACUUAUUCCGUGUGGCCGUGAGAAGCUGUCUGCGCUCAGGCCAUGAGCCUGGCACAGUGGUGAGCUGCUUUCCCUGGUGUCUGUGUCUCAGUGACUCUUUCCUCAGCCCUCCGGUAGGUCCUGCUGUUGCCAGAGUCCCCAAGCUGCAGGGUGUCCAAGAGCUUGGCCGUGGGUACGGGCUCUUGGGCUUUGGCACAGGGAGCCAGUUCUCCUUUCUGCCAGUGGCUUUUGUUAACUCACAAAGUUUCCCCUCUGCUCUGGCUGCCCAGAAAGAAGCUUCAGGAUAUUCUGCGCUGCCUUAG